CUUCGGAUUGUAAACUUCUUUUGUUGGGGAGUGAAAUGCCCUGGUGAAGUAGCCAGGGGUGACAGUACCCGAUGAAUAAGCCACGGCUAACUACGUGC
rnacentral:rRNA from 1 species